UCCGUGGAAAAAUACAUAUUACUCACCAAAACACAUUACUCAACAGAAAACAGCGGUAGUGUUAGUUUUGGCGGUCCGAUUAUUGGCGAUGCCACUAAACUGCGCCAGUUCCUGCUUAACGUAUGCCUACUUCUCUCAAUUUGUUUCUUCUUUUUCAGGGUUUCGGUGUGAUUAUCCAGGAUUUGCAGCAACUUCGAGAAACUUGAGUUUUAAAGUGAAAGCUAGGGUGAAAACUGAUCGUCUCAUUUCAUCAUCACUGUCGACAUCACCAAACAUGUCCUCUGAUAAUAAACACAAGAAGCUGAAGCAAUCAACUACAGAUGUUGUUAUGAAAAACGAUGAAGUUUUGGAAAUAAAAAAUGUUAAGGAGAGCGGUUCAAUUGAACUCGAAGGAUUGACGUUUCAUCAACUGAGAACCAUGUCAAGGAAUUAUGGUAUCCCUGCUAAAGGUUCUAAGCACGACCUUCUGCUGGCCUUGAAGGAAUUCAUGGAUAAUGAGAAAGAUGUAGAUUUUGUCGAUACCUUAGAACAUGUGGAUUCUGAGAAGAAACUAAGGGACCCUGAAAAUGCUGCAUCAGGAAGCCAAAACACUACCCCAGAUGAAUCCUCUGGAAACCAACAGAAGAAGAGGAGAAGAAAAACAACCUUAGAGAAUGGCGCUAAUAUUGCUGUUACAGCAGAAACUGUCAUAACAGAGCAAAAGUUAUCUAUCGCAACAAAUGAGGUUCCAGUGCUAGAUACAAAGCCUUCCCGAGCUCAGAAAAAGGGAAGUACCAAAAGUGUGAAACAAGAUGAAGGAUCCACUGCUGUGUCUGGAAAUCAGAGUGAGCCUUGGACAAUGCUUGCGCACAAAAAACCAGAACCAGGAUGGAUACCAUAUAAUCCAAGAACGAUGAGGCCUCCACCGCUUGCAGAUGGUAUAAAAUCUGUUAAAUUAAUCUCUUGGAAUGUUAAUGGCUUAAGAGCUUUGUUAAAAUUGGAGGGCUUCUCCGCGCUGCAACUCGCGAAACGGGAGAACUUUGAUGUGUUGUGCUUGCAAGAAACCAAACUUCAGGAGAAGGAUGUCGAGGAUAUCAAGAGGUGCCUUAUAGAGGGCUACGAUAAUAGCUUCUGGACUUGCAGUGUUUCAAAGCUUGGUUACUCUGGUACAGCUAUCAUUUCCAGGAUAAAGCCAGUGUCAGUCAGAUAUGGACUAGGCAUACAGGAUCAUGACAGUGAAGGACGCCUUGUGACAGUGGAAUUUGAUACAUUUUACUUACUAAACGGAUAUGUCCCAAAUUCUGGGGAUGGUUUGAAAAGACUGUCGUACAGGGUUACACAGUGGGAUUCAUCUCUUGCUAACUACAUGAAGGAAUUGGAAAAGUCAAAGCCUGUAAUUCUGACUGGGGAUCUGAAUUGUGCACAUCAGGAGAUAGACAUUUAUAACCCUGCUGGAAAUCGGAGAAGUGCCGGGUUUACAAUUGAGGAGAGGCAAUCAUUUGAGACAAACUUCUUGUCGAAAGGUUAUGUUGAUACAUUCAGGCGACAACAUCCUGGCGUUGUUGGUUAUACGUACUGGGGUUAUAGGCAUAAUGGGCGGGUGACAAAUAAAGGAUGGCGUCUUGACUAUUUUCUGGCUUCAGAAUCUCUAGCAGACAAAGUACACGACUCUUACAUUCUUCCAGAUGUUCUUGGUAGCGACCACUGCCCAAUUGGUCUCAUUCUCAAGCUGUAGGAUGUGUUUGUUGGAUUAAGGAAAACGUUGAUCAUGAGUCCAAAUUUUGAACGCAGCUGUUUCAUUGAACUUUUUGCUAGUCAGUGGCUGUGAUCUCUAUGAGUCCAAAUUUUGAAAUUUCGCGUGCCUGCCUCCUAAUCGCGAAGAUUUAUAUGAAAUUCUCCUUCGCUGCUCAGUUGGACCCGGGACCUGCUCCAUUUUGCUAUAGUGAGACUUGGGGGAACUCGCUCGCUGUGCUGAUCUUUGACCACUGUAUUUUUCUUGACAUGGAUGUCAAAGAUGGCUUACUCCAGCAAUCCCAUUUUAGUAAAUCCUUCUUCUAGCUGGAUGUACUGCAAGCUGGUUUCAACUUGUAUUGGAGGUUAGAACUUCAGGUAUGUGAUAGUGGACUUGCAUAUCGAGGGAGGAACACAGAAAAUUUCGUUAUUAGCCGCGACAUCUUAUAAGCACCCUAAUCAGUAAAAGAAAAUGACUGCAUAAUGGUUGCCUUCCCUUGGAAAGAUGCUUGGAGAUGGAAAUGUUUUGGUGCUUGUUAUAAGGGGUGCCCAAAUCAGGUUGCUUUGUUUUUUUAUGAGGUCCAAAAUUAUUGCUGACCCCAAACCAGAAAAAUAAGAAAUUUCCCCCAAGUAAAACCAGUUCCCAUUUUAGUGUAGAUAUGGUUUUUCAUUUUUGGGUUUUUAGUUUGUAAGCUCCGAGAAGAGCAUAUCAUCAUCAUCAUCAUCAUCAAUGGCGAGUCUCAUAACAACCUUGAAUAUUUCAUUUCACAAUUCAUCAUCAACUACUCUUUUUCACAAUAACUUCAGAAUUUCAUUCACACCAAAAUCCCUUUCUUUUAAGCCAUUACUUUCUUCUUCUUCUUCUUCAAAUUUAUCUACUCAAAUUACAACACAUAAUCUUCUUCAUCAUCAUCAUAAACAAAAAAAACGAGGGUUUGCAAUAAUUACCCGUGCAGCUCCAACCACUGCCAACCUUAUUUUUGCUUUUGUAUUUCCACUCACUCUUCUCCUUGUCACCAUUUUCACUUCCAUUAAAAUUGCAGACAAGCUUGACCAGGAUUUCCUUGAAGAGCUUGCCAUUAAUCAAGCAAUUAUGGAAGGGAAGGAUGAAAAGGAAGAUAGUCGUGCAUCACUGGAGGAAGAAGAACCUGCCACAGUUACAAGAACUCGUAACCGUCCCAAACGUGAAGCUUAGAAGAUUCGAAUCCGACUGCAGUCGUUUCUCUUACAAUUUUGUGUUGUGCGAAGAUUGGAUAAUCUACCUGCAUUCGCCUUAUAACCAAUCUGUCUUUAGAAAAGCAUAACCUGCUAUGGAAUUCACAUAUGUAGCAGUAUCAAAGAAUGAAGGGAUUGUAGACUGUGCACACAUCACUAGUCUAAUGGUACUAUUCUCAUUUAUUCGGUAGCUGAGUGUUUGAAUAUUUUUCCAACUUCUAUGAUAUAGCAAGCCUUGUUGAGAAAUCGUUAAACUCUAUAUGGAUUCUGGAGGCCGCUAGUGUUCAUGAU